GACGAACGCUGGCGGCAGGCCUAACACAUGCAAGUCGAACGAGUGGCGGACGGGUGAGUACUGUCUGGGAACCUGCCGGAUGGAGAGGGAUCACUACUGGAAAAGGUAGCUAAUACCGCAUACCAUCAGAUGUGCCCAGAUGGGAUUAGCUAGUCGGUGGGGUAACGGCUCACCUAGGCGACGAUCCCUAGCUGGUCUGAGAGGAUGACCAGCCACACUGGAACUGAGACACGGUCCAGACUCCUACGGGAGGCAGCAGUGGGGAAUAUUGGACAAUGGGCGAAAGCCUGAUGCAGCAAUGCCGCGUGUGUGAAGAAGGCUUUCGGGUCGUAAAGUACUUUCAGCGGGGAGGCGGUACCCGAAGAAGAAGCCCCGGCUAACUCCGUGCCAGCAGCCGCGGUAAUUC
rnacentral:rRNA from 1 species